rnacentral:lncRNA from 1 species
UAAGUUCGGCGGGUCCCGGACCAAGAUGGCGACCGGCUUCUCAUUCUUAAGCUGGUCCAAGAACCAGGGCUUUAGACUUCCCCAUGCCUCUCAAUUCCAUAUGAGUUUAUUUGCCACCUGAUGGAGAAGUCUGCCCUCUGUCCUAACUCCCAUGGCUAUGAACUUGGCUCAUCCCUCCUGUGUUCUCCCUGUACUCUGCCAAGGAUCUGUGCUCCCAGUGUUCAUUGGCUUCCUUGACCUUCUUAGCCUUUAGUCUUCUAAUAGAGACAGAAAAUUCUCCUUCAUCCACACUGAAAUGUCUUCAGAAUAAGCAUGGGAUCACAGAUGGGUUCACCAGGUAGUAUAUGACCUGACCAUUGUCAACCUCAGUCCUGUCUCCUCUGCCCUGCUUCCCAGAUGGUGUUCUCUACCCCAUUCUUCAGCAAACAUCAACCUUGUUCUCUCCAUGUCUUUGCCAGGAUGUUUAUUUUGACAGAGCCUUACUUCCUAGCCCAUUUCUUCAUAUUCACACCCACCUCCUGGCAGAUACCCUCUUUUUAGUCUUCAAUGUCAGCUUGACCUUCUCUGAUCGAUUCCCUUGCCUCAAAUUAUCUCAGGGCCCCACCUUAAACAUUGAGAUAACCAUGUACUUCUUUUUGUGUUGAAAAUCUUACUGUCCUUGAUAAUUAUUUUUACAUGGUGACUCAUUGUCUAUGUUCUUAAUAGAGAAGCAGAGCUGCAUGUGAACAGUCCGCAGGGACUGGAGUGUUUGUAUGCACGAAUUGUAAACGCUGCUCUGUAGACAGUUAGCUGACACCUCUGCAGUAUCUAAUCAUUUGCAUGUGGAAAGCUGCUACCAGGAAUAUAAACACAUUGUGGUAGAGACCCAUGGUGGGGGAUCUCUAGUACAAAAUGCUCCCUGAUGAACGCACAAAAAGCCGGUAUCAAUUGCAAAGCCUUCUUAAAGGCUGGGGUCCAGGGAGGUGUGUACUCCACUAGUGAGCCUUUGGGAACAGAUCUGAAGGGCUGCAAGGGAGAAAGUAUAAAGUGAUACACCAUUUCUCUUUAUCAUCUAUGCUUUCCUGUCUCUUUCCUGGAAGUGCUGUAAUAGUGCCUACCAUUCCUAGCUACUCAAAGCUGUGUGACAAAUCAUAAAAAACUUAGCAUCCAAAAAUACAUGUUUGUGAUCUCACAGUUGAGCAGGCCCUCAGCUUUGCACUGGCAUCAAAGCCUCAUGGGAGCACCCUUGUAUCAGAAGCCUGUAUAGGAAGGGCUCUGCUCCCAGGCUCUCCCAGGCAGGUGACAUUGAAACCUGCAAACCUUCAAACUUGAUGUGAAUGAACACCAAAGUCGAGAUAGAGUCUACAAAAGAGCUUCUUUCUACAGCCUUCACUUCUGAUGAGGUCAUCCAAAUAUCCCUGGAGCCAGCUGCCACCAGUCAGGGCUUUGGAUGCCUGCUCUGCAAUCCCUGCUGACCCACCACACUCCUUCACUUGGAAAGUCCCGACUCUGGCAAAGAGCUGCCCUUGAAGUAGGUACUUCAAAGGGGCCACAGGCUACUGGAAAGCGUUCAGAUCUCUUAUCUGAGGAGCAGUAAAUGCAGUGACACCACAAGCCUUUGGAGUUUCUGAAGACACCACAUGAAGUUAACAGGUUGAGCUAAUCAACCCAAGAGGAAGAAGGAACACAUGAACUGGAAAUAUUCAGCUGAAAUGGAUUGGUAUUUCAAAGCACAAAGCUCCUGAGAGAUGCUCUUCUGAACAGGAGGACAACAGGAGGGAAACAGUAUGUUCAUGGCAGAAUAAAACAAUCUUUCCCUGACUUACUUUUGGGCUUACCGUUUGACAAAGAACAUAAAAAUAUGAGAUCUAAAUUCA